GAACAGAAAAUCCUUAAUCUAGUUUGGAGGUGUGGGAGAGCUUAGCCUGAGGAAGUGAUAAAAGUAGAAGAUUGUCUCAGUGGAUGGUAUUUGACUUGUCUUUCUAUUUUUGAGGAAAGUCCAUCACAAGAAUGUCGUGCAAUUCAUAGGUGCAUGUACACAGCCUCCAAACCUGUGCAUUGUGACUAGUAAAUCCACGAGAAUCUUUAAGAUCUAUGAAUGUAUAAUCAAGGCUCUCAUUUUUUAUCUUCUAGAGCUCAUGAUUGACAGUGUUAAUAGAAUUCAUUUCUAGAGGGAGUGUAUACGACUUUCUGCAUAAACAUAGGGGUGUAUUUAAGCUUCCAUCUCUGCUCAAAGUAGCAAUUGAUGUUUCCAAGGGAAUGAGAAAUUUGCACCAAAAAAAUAUAAUCCACAGGGACCUCAAGACUGCCAAUCUUCUGAUGGAUGAAAACGAAAUCGUUAAGGUUGCUGAUUUUGGGGUUGCCAGAGUGCAGACUCAAUCUGGAGUGAUGACAGCUGAAACUGGAACAUACCGUUGGAUGGCUCCUGAGGAUGCUUAUUCACAUCAUCUGGAGGCUUGAGGAGUUAUGAACACCCCCUCAAUGAGGUGAAGCCUGUGCCAAGGGUGGACAGUUCUGGUCAGGUGUGUGGUGUAACUUUCACCGUGGAUGAAGAGUCUAAGAGGGAAGCUAUCGGCAUGCCAAGAGUUGGAAGUGCUGCCAACUGGUCAUCUAACUACUGAUAUUGUUAUAGUUUCCUUUUACGGCAUGGCUAUCAUUAUUAGUGGGCCUUGCCUUUGAUGUCCUUUUUCUUAUCAUACUACUCUAAUCUUGAAUGGCUUGAAAGCAUUUUAAUGGGUGAUUGGAUUUAUAUCCUUUUUAGUACUACCAAAACAAAGACAUGAUUUUAUGCUGCUGUACAAUGUUGCGUAAUGUCAAACUAAGCCAGG